CUGCAGGAGAAGAUUUGAUCAGUCAGGCUGCUGGUGAUUCUCCAGGACUUAUCUGGUCCUGGAUAUAACCACUGCCAGACUGAAUGGUGCUAAAG
rnacentral:pre_miRNA from 1 species